GAUGAACGCUGGCGGCGUGCCUAAUACAUGCAAGUCGAGCGAACGGACGAGAAGCUUGCUUCUCUGAUGUUAGCGGCGGACGGGUGAGUAACACGUGGAUAACCUACCUAUAAGACUGGGAUAACUUCGGGAAACCGGAGCUAAUACCGGAUAAUAUUUUGAACCGCAUGGUUCAAAAGUGAAAGACGGUCUUGCUGUCACUUAUAGAUGGAUCCGCGCUGCAUUAGCUAGUUGGUAAGGUAACGGCUUACCAAGGCAACGAUGCAUAGCCGACCUGAGAGGGUGAUCGGCCACACUGGAACUGAGACACGGUCCAGACUCCUACGGGAGGCAGCAGUAGGGAAUCUUCCGCAAUGGGCGAAAGCCUGACGGAGCAACGCCGCGUGAGUGAUGAAGGUCUUCGGAUCGUAAAACUCUGUUAUUAGGGAAGAACAUAUGUGUAAGUAACUGUGCACAUCUUGACGGUACCUAAUCAGAAAGCCACGGCUAACUACGUGCCAGCAGCCGCGGUAAUACGUAGGUGGCAAGCGUUAUCCGGAAUUAUUGGGCGUAAAGCGCGCGUAGGCGGUUUUUUAAGUCUGAUGUGAAAGCCCACGGCUCAACCGUGGAGGGUCAUUGGAAACUGGAAAACUUGAGUGCAGAAGAGGAAAGUGGAAUUCCGUGUGUAGCGGUGAAAUGCGCAGAGAUAUGGAGGAACACCAGUGGCGAAGGCGACUUUCUGGUCUGUAACUGACGCUGAUGUGCGAAAGCGUGGGGAUCAAACAGGAUUAGAUACCCUGGUAGUCCACGCCGUAAACGAUGAGUGCUAAGUGUUAGGGGGUUUCCGCCCCUUAGUGCUGCAGCUAACGCAUUAAGCACUCCGCCUGGGGAGUACGACCGCAAGGUUGAAACUCAAAGGAAUUGACGGGGACCCGCACAAGCGGUGGAGCAUGUGGUUUAAUUCGAAGCAACGCGAAGAACCUUACCAAAUCUUGACAUCCUUUGACAACUCUAGAGAUAGAGCUUUCCCCUUCGGGGGACAAAGUGACAGGUGGUGCAUGGUUGUCGUCAGCUCGUGUCGUGAGAUGUUGGGUUAAGUCCCGCAACGAGCGCAACCCUUAAGCUUAGUUGCCAUCAUUAAGUUGGGCACUCUAAGUUGACUGCCGGUGACAAACCGGAGGAAGGUGGGGAUGACGUCAAAUCAUCAUGCCCCUUAUGAUUUGGGCUACACACGUGCUACAAUGGACAAUACAAAGGGCAGCGAAACCGCGAGGUCAAGCAAAUCCCAUAAAGUUGUUCUCAGUUCGGAUUGUAGUCUGCAACUCGACUACAUGAAGCUGGAAUCACUAGUAAUCGUAGAUCAGCAUGCUACGGUGAAUACGUUCCCGGGUCU
rnacentral:rRNA from 1 species